UACGUAGGGUGCGAGCGUUAAUCAGAAUUACUGGGCGUAAAGCGUGCGCAGGCGGUUUGCUAAGACAGGCGUGAAAUCCCCCGGGCUUAACCUGGGAAUGGCAUUGAGGACUGCACGGCUAGAGUGUGGCAGAGGGGGGGUGGAAUUCCGCGUGUAGCAGUGAAAUGCGUAGAUAUCGAGAGGAACACCUGCGGCGAAGGCGGGUUGCUGGGCUGACACUGACGCUGAGGCGCGAAAGCUAGGGGAGCGAACGGG
rnacentral:rRNA from 1 species